rnacentral:rRNA from 1 species
AUGAACGCUAGCGACAGGCUUAACACAUGCAAGUCGAGGGGCAGCAUGGUCUUAGCUCGCUAAGGCCGAUGGCGACCGGCGCACGGGUGAGUAACACGUAUCCAACCUGCCGUCUACUCUUGGACAGCCUUCUGAAAGGAAGAUUAAUACAAGAUGGCAUCAUGAGUUCACAUGUUCACAUGAUUAAAGGUAUUCCGGUAGACGAUGGGGAUGCGUUCCAUUAGGUAGUUGGUGAGGUAACGGCUCACCAAGCCUACGAUGGAUAGGGGAACUGAGAGGUUGGUCCCCCACACUGGUACUGAGACACGGACCAGACUCCUACGGGAGGCAGCAGUGAGGAAUAUUGGUCAAUGGGCGGGAGCCUGAACCAGCCAAGUCGCGUGAAGGAAGAAGGAUCUAUGGUUCGUAAACUUCUUUUGCAGGGGAAUAAAGUGCGGGACGUGUCCUGUUUUGUAUGUACCCUGAGAAUAAGGAUCGGCUAACUCCGUG